AAAAAGGCAAACCCUAGGUUUCCGUGUCCAACUUUAACUGUCCGUUUUAUAUGAAAUUUUUUUAUAAUUCGUAUUUUCAUUGUUGUUAGAUGAUAAAACAUGAUUAAUAUUUUAUGCGUGACUUGUCUUUUUAAUUUUUUUUUAUAUUUUUUUCAAAUAAGACGAACGGUCAAAUGUUGGUCACGGAAACCAGGGUUUGUCUUUUU
rfam:Oryza rufipogon genomic scaffold, chr12